CAGAAAUUCUGAGAAGAUUGCAAAAGGAAAAGCAGGACCCAGGUGAUGGGGCUGUGACAAAGGAGGAAUUUCAGGAGGAGAAAACAGUGGCUCAGAGAUUCAAGCUUAAUAUCCUGCUUUUCAUAAAGUCAAAAUAGCACCAAAACAGAACUCAAAGAACACUGGACUGAACUCCAAAAAAAACCAUACAACUCUUCCCAGACCAUUACCUAUUCACACAGCAGACUUGAUAAGAAGAAAAAAAUGACACACUAUCAAAUUUCCAUUUAUGUAGAUGAUAAGAUCAAGGUGGAAGAGAAGAAAGAAUGAGAAAGUAGAGUGUUUGGAGAACAUGGAACUGUCUGGGGGUUCUCUGUUCUCCCAUACACACUGAGGAGAUUCUAGACUGUAUUUGAACAGAGAUAGGAGCAUAAAAGAUAAACAUGGAGCUGCAGAUUGAUGAUUAUUCAUUCACUUAGAGGCAAUUUGGUACCUGGAAUGAGAUGACACUGGAAAUUACUUGUGAGACAGAGAUAUUCGAAUGAGGUGAAUCUGAGACAUGCACAGGCUAAGAGACUGAGAAGUAACCUCACUUCUAACCUCACUUCUGUGUUAAUGUCAUAUUGUUAUGGACAUGAACAAGAUAAGUAUUGGAAUGCUCAGAACUAAAUAAUUCAAAUCCAAAAGGAUUUCCACCUCUAAGUCAAUAAAAUAUCAUGUUUCUAAUGAUCUCAGUAAAUGCCAGUUAAUCAUACUGGCAACCAGUGAUAGCCACAGUGGAUAUUAUUCUUCAGAAUGUCAAGACUUAAUAGACCUAACAAUAAUGAAAGUGAUCAAUUUGGCUUUCUCAUGUAUCUCUUUAAUUUUAUGUCAGUAACUGUAAUAGUAAAAAAUUGGCAAAUUAAAAUGAACACGCGAUUUG